GAUGAACGCUGGCGGCGUGCCUAAUACAUGCAAGUCGAGCGAACGGACGAGAAGCUUGCUUCUCUGAUGUUAGCGGCGGACGGGUGAGUAACACGUGGAUAACCUACCUAUAAGACUGGGAUAACUUCGGGAAACCGGAGCUAAUACCGGAUAAUAUUUUGAACCGCAUGGUUCAAAAGUGAAAGACGGUCUUGCUGUCAGUUAUGGAUGGAUCCGCGCUGCAUUAGCUAGUUGGUAAGGUAGCGGCUUACCAAGGCAACGAUGCAUAGCCGACCUGAGAGGGUGACCGGCCACAGUGGGAAUGAGAUACGGGCCAGACUCAUACGGGAGGCAGCAGUGGGGAAUAUUGCACAAUGGGCGGAAGCCGGAAGCAGCAACGCCGCGUGCGGGAUGACGGACGUCGGGUUGGAAACCGCGGUCGCAUGUGACGAAGCGUGAGUGACGGUAAUGGGUAAAGAAGCACCGGCUAACUACGUG
rnacentral:rRNA from 1 species